CCUACGGGAGGCAGCAGUGGGGAAUAUUGCACAAUGGGCGCAAGCCUGAUGCAGCGACGCCGCGUGAGGGAUGACGGCCUUCGGGUUGUAAACCUCUUUCAGUAGGGAAGAAGCCGCAAGGUGACGGUACCUGCAGAAGAAGCGCCGGCUAACUACGUGCCAGCAGCCGCGGUAAUACGUAGGGCGCAAGCGUUAUCCGGAAUUAUUGGGCGUAAAGAGCUCGUAGGCAGUUUGUCGCGUCUGCCGUGAAAGUCCGGGGCUCAACUCCGGAUCUGCGGUGGUACGGGCAGACUAGAGUGAUGUAGGGGAGACUGGAAUUCCUGGUGUAGCGGUGAAAUGCGCAGAUAUCAGGAGGAACACCGAUGGCGAAGGCAGGUCUCUGGGCAUUAACUGACGCUGAGGAGCGAAAGCAUGGGGAGCGAACAGGAUUAGAUACCCUGGUAGUCCAUGCCGUAAACGUUGGGCACUAGGUGUGGGGGACAUUCCACGUUUUCCGCGCCGUAGCUAACGCAUUAAGUGCCCGCCUGGGGAGUACGGCCGCAAGGCUUAAAACGUUCAAAUUGAAUUGACGG
rnacentral:rRNA from 1 species